CUUUCGUAAGAGGAAGAAAGGAGAAAGAAGAAGAAGAAGAAGAAGAAGAAGAAGAAAGGAGAAAAAGAGAAGGGAAGAGAGAGAAAUUACUGUAGAGAUCGAUUUGCUUACGAGAUUGCUAGAGGAUUCAGCAAAAAGGUCCAAGAUUCACCUGUAAGGUGGGAAUUGAUGGUAGAUCACAUGCAUGGAAUCCUUGAUAGCCGUGAGAGAGAUUCCUCCACACCAGGAGAGAAUGUGGGCCAUGAUAUUCACUGUGAAUGGGUGCCCUUCUCAACCCCCAUUCUUUAGGUGUGUUUAUUAAUAUUGAGCAUGCAUUACUUGUUGU